UCGUAUAAAAACAUUAUUUUCUAAUUUUGUAUAUAAUUAUACACAAAACAAUUUUCUCUCUCCUUGUCACAUUCCAAAUUUUUCUCCUACAUUUAAUACUCUAGCUAUCCGGUUUGAAAUUCAAAUUGUUGUCCAAAAUUAGAUUACUCCCUCUCGAAGUUGAAGUUCCCUUCCAAAGUUGAAGUCAAUUUCAUCUAAAAUUGGUUACACAAUGAAUGAAUCAUCUUCAUCUUUGAGGAUUACCAGAGGGUCAUUGGGAAAAUCAAAUCAAGUUAUACAAGAACAAACAAUGGAAGAGCUUAGAUCAAAG